rnacentral:rRNA from 1 species
CAAUAGCGUAUAUUAAGGUUGUUGCAGUUAAAAAGCUCGUAGUUGAAUUUCUGGGCGGCCCGCCGGUCUUCCAUGUGUUGUACUGGGCGGCGCCGGCCAUCCUUGUGGAGAGGGCUCGCAUUUGGUUGCGUGUCGGAUCUGCAUCAUUUACUGUGAAAAAAUUAGAGUGUUUAAAGCAGGCUGUCGCUUGAAUACAUUAGCAUGGAAUAAUAAGAUAGGACUUCGGUCUAUUUUGUUGGUUGCGAACCGAGGUAAUGAUUAAUAGGGAUAGUUGGGGGUAUUCAUAUUUAAUUGUCAGAGGUGAAAUUCUUGGAUUUAUGAAAGAUGAACAACUGCGAAAGCAUUUACCAAGGAUGUUUUCAUUAA